rnacentral:snRNA from 1 species
AAGUGAAAAGAAAAAGAGAAAA